CAGCCGCCACGGUAAUACGUAGGGUGCAAGCGUUAAUCGGAAUUACUGGGCGUAAAGCGUGCGCAGGCGGUUCGUUAAGACAGAUGUGAAAUCCCCGGGCUUAACCUGGGAACUGCAUUUGUGACUGGCGGGCUAGAGUAUGGCAGAGGGGGGUAGAAUUCCACGUGUAGCAGUGAAAUGCGUAGGGAUGUGGAGGAAUACCGAUGGCGAAGGCAGCCCCCUGGGCCAAUACUGACGCUCAUGCACGAAAGCGUGGGGAGCAAACAGGAUUAGAUACCCCGGUAGUCCCUGUCUCUUAUAA
rnacentral:rRNA from 1 species